rnacentral:rRNA from 1 species
GAGCAGGGCGGCGUUCCUAUAAUGCAAGUCGAGCGAAUGGAUUAAGAGCUUGCUCUUAUGAAGUUAGCGGCGGACGGGUGAGUAACACGUGGGUAACCUGCCCAUAAGACUGGGAUAACUCCGGGAAACCGGGGCUAAUACCGGAUAACAUUUUGAACCGCAUGGUUCGAAAUUGAAAGGCGGCUUCGGCUGUCACUUAUGGAUGGACCCGCGUCGCAUUAGCUAGUUGGUGAGGUAACGGCUCACCAAGGCAACGAUGCGUAGCCGACCUGAGAGGGUGAUCGGCCACACUGGGACUGAGACACGGCCCAGACUCCUACGGGAGGCAGCAGUAGGGAAUCUUCCGCAAUGGACGAAAGUCUGACGGAGCAACGCCGCGUGAGUGAUGAAGGCUUUCGGG